GACGAACGCUGGCGGCGCGCCUAACACAUGCAAGUCGAGCGGGAAUAUGCGAGGAGUAAUCCGAGUAUAUUUUAGCGGCGGACGGGUGAGUAACGCGUGAGUGACCUGCCUCUUACAGGGGGAUAACGUGCCGAAAGGCACACUAAUACCGCAUAAGACCACGGAUCCACAUGGGUCUGAGGUCAAAGGAGCAAUCCGGUAAGAGAUGGGCUCGCGUCCGAUUAGAUAGUUGGUGAGGUAACGGCCCACCAAGUCGACGAUCGGUAGCCGACCUGAGAGGGUGAUCGGCCACAUUGGAACUGAGAGACGGUCCAAACUCCUACGGGAGGCAGCAGUGGGGAAUAUUGGGCAAUGGGGGAAACCCUGACCCAGCGACGCCGCGUGAGGGAAGAAGGUUUUCGGAUUGUAAACCUCUGUUCUUGGUGAAGAGGGGAAGACGGUAGCCAAGGAGGAAGCCCCGGCUAACUACGUGCCAGCAGCCGCGGUAAUACGUAGGGGGCGAGCGUUGUCCGGAAUGAUUGGGCGUAAAGGGCGCGUAGGCGGCUUAAUAAGUCUGGAGUGGAAGUCCUAUUUUCAAGGUAGGAAUUGCUUUGGAAACUGUUAAGCUUGAGUGCAGGAGAGGUCAUCGGAAUUCCCGGUGUAGCGGUGAAAUGCGUAGAGAUCGGGAGGAACACCAGUGGCGAAGGCGGGUGACUGGACUGCAACUGACGCUGAGGCGCGAAAGUGUGGGGAGCAAACAGGAUUAGAUACCCUGGUAGUCCACACUGUAAACGAUGAAUGCUAGGUGUAGGUGGUAUCGACCCCAUCUGUGCCGGAGUCAACACAAUAAGCAUUCCGCCUGGGAGUACGGUCGCAAGAUUAAAACUCAA
rnacentral:rRNA from 1 species